rnacentral:rRNA from 1 species
AUUGAACGCUAGCGGCAGGCCUAACACAUGCAAGUCGAACGGUAGCACAGAGAGCUUGCUCUCGGGUGACGAGUGGCGGACGGGUGAGUAAUGUCUGGGAAACUGCCCGAUGGAGGGGGAUAACUACUGGAAACGGUAGCUAAUACCGCAUAACGUCGCAAGACCAAAGUGGGGGACCUUCGGGCCUCACACCAUCGGAUGUGCCCAGAUGGGAUUAGCUAGUAGGUGGGGUAAUGGCUCACCUAGGCGACGAUCCCUAGCUGGUCUAAGAGGAUGACCAGCCACACUGGAACGGAGACACGGUCCAGACUCCUACGGGAGGCAGCAGUGGGGAAUAUUGCACAAUGGGCGCAAGCCUGAUGCAGCCAUGCCGCGUGUAUGAAGAAGGCCUUCGGGUUGUAAAGUACUUUCAGCGGGGAGGAAGGCGGUGGAGUUAAUAACUUCACCGAUUGACGUUACCCGCAGAAGAAGCACCGGCUAACUCCGUGCCAGCCGCCGCCGUAAAAC